rnacentral:lncRNA from 1 species
CCAUUUUAUAGAAAAACCACAUCUUCUUUACCCAGUUUCCAACUGAUGGGCAAAUGGGCUGUUUCCAAGUUUUAGCUAUUACAAACUGUGUUUCUUCUGAGUCUUGAAUGUUAAAAGAAAAUGGGACAUCCUUUUCACAUUUUUUUUCAGUACUGGAGAUCAAACUUGCACUCAGUGGCACCACUGAGCUAAAUCCUUAGCCCAUUUUCCUGACUUUUUAAAAAAAUAAGGCAGAUGCUUUGUUCCUAAGGCUCUCUGCAGCUCAUACCAUUUUUUUCUUUUUCAUUAGGUCUGGAUGACUUUGUUCUCACCUGUAUUUUUGGUGAUUUCUGCUGUAUUUUCUCACCAAGGAAGGCCAGCUUCUAAGUAAAUGGACAAAAUCAAUACAGGCAAUAAUGGCUUCCCUAGUUUAUGAUGACUGAGGACAUCAAUCAGUGAACCAUAAAUAAAUUUAGUUGUUUGCCCUAUUUGGGCUCCUGUCUACCUCCUAUAGAUAUAGAUGACCUUCUCUGGGAAAGUAAGGACUAGGAAUAAAGAACAAGCUUCAUCCCAGUUAGGAUCACUCUGCAGGACUCGAGUCCAUCACACAGGCCAGGGCCUUCUCACAGUGCAUUCAGAGCCCUGCUCCUGAAAGGUCCACAAUCUGAUCACGGUUGAUACAUCACUGCAUUGGUGCGCACUUUUCUCCUUUCCCUCCCUGCUCCUCAUCUGUAAAACAUAGAUGAGAGUUUCCUA